AAAAUUGGACAGGUCAUCUCCUCUGGCAUUCAGCUGGAAGCUGUAGCAAUGGGUUUCUUCAGAUGUUGGCUCAUGAGUUCCCUGGCACGAGAUACUUGGAUGUGUUCGUAACAUGAGUUACAGACGAGAACUGGGUCAUAGAGUUGUUGAUCAGGAAUGGGCAACUUCAGGUGGCAGCAGCCAGCACAAAACACAUUCCCACAAUUUCUGCCAAAGCACAAAGAAGAGUUCAUCAGAAAUGCCUGUGUACUGAGAAGAAAUAACACUUGCAAAGGCCUUACAUGAAUAAUAAAGAGAAAAGUUGGACGAAAACAAAAAAAUUAUCCUGAUAAAGAUAUAUCCGUUUUCAGAUUAACUCAGUUUAGCUUACAUACGUGUAUGUCACUGCUUUAUGAGCCAUACAGAAUCAUACAGAACAUCUUACCUGCAGUGGUGUCUUCGUUUGGCCAACCAGAAUUCACAGUCACAGUUAUAGCAAUGUGAUGCCAUAUGGUCUGGAACCCAGCGAGUCACCUAACAGAAGGCACAAGGAAAAAUUCCAGGUCCUUGUCAACCAAGUGGAAGCGCAACACUGCAGCAAGGAAAGCAUCCCAGGAGACAUCAACAAGAUCUGUCUUUCUACUUGGCCACUACUUGUCUAAAAAGACAUUCAUCUAGGAGAGAGCUUCAUCUAUAGCGUGCCACUCGUCUCUGAGAAAUAUGAGGACUCGAUGCUUCAUGUAAGUAUGCAUUCGCCUGCACAUACCUCAGUCUCUUUCUUAUCAACAGGUUCCCAGCUUGCUUCAGAAAGGCAGUCCUCACUGUGAUCAGAGCCAAAAUCUUCAAUAUCACUGCCAUCUGACUCCUUCAAACAUGUCUGAAGAAAAGGCAAAGAUCUCAGCACCAUCUUCACCAUCACUAACAUUUACUGUUUACUGUGCAUCAGUCCAUAGGGGGCUCUGCUGGAGGGGCACAGCAGUGACGGAUAUCCAGCCUCAUCUGAAGCUCACGCACUUGUCGACGUAGCUGCUCCACCUCUUGCUUGUACCCUGCUUCAAUUUGCCGUAAUCUAUGCUGGAUCACAUCCGUGGGAAAGGGGAGUCCAUCAUCAUCCAGGUCUCCAAGCAGCACCUACAGGACAAGACUUACCAUGUCUGAGCCUGGUGUGUAGAGGAAGUUAUGAAAGUUCUUAUUGCCAGCUCGCAGGAGAGCCCACACAGAGCAGUUCUCUGUGUUCUUUAGGUAGGACAAACCAAAGAAACUCAGUGUACUGUGGCUAUUCCAAAGUGCUGGCUGAGAAGCAGAAGAAGUGCUCUUAGAACUGGCCCACUGCAACAGGCCCUCAGGUCUCCUGUACCUCCACACUUCCCAUCUCCCUAUCUCCUCUUGUAAGAACUAGAAGAACUGCGUGAAGACAAGACGAGUGAAGAUGGAACUGGGGGCAGUUGCUGUUGAUGUGGGAGACUCUCCAGACAUUCUGCAGAUCAAAGCCCAUCCUCGUGAGCUCAGCCUCCUGCCGACAUCGUAUGUGCUCUCCUGCAACACAGUCCCCAUGCCUGCCUGUCAGCAUCCAAGUGCACCAUGUCCAUGGGUGGAAGAGGGUUAAGAACCAAGAGAGAUGAAGUCUCCCAAAUAAAACAGCCUGGCCUUACCUGGCUGACACAGGUGGGUAUGCUGGUCCUCCUCAGUCAGGCCCAGGCACCAGGCAUGGUAGGCGAAGGCAAAGAGGUCUUCAGGCUUGGCAGGUCUUGCCGUGGCCCGGCUUAGCCGUGAGAGCCACUCUUGGCACUGCUUGAAGGUAGAGAAGUGGCACCUGCCAGGCAAGAAGCCACAGAGUGAGACAAGAGGCAGGUUUCCAUUGGGGCCAUGAGGGUCAAAAACAAGGCCACAAGAAGGCUGCGGGGAGAGGCUUGCUUUAAAACAGGAGGUAAGAAAAAAUAAUAAUAAAAAAUAAAUAAAUAAAACAGGAGGUAAGGCAUGGAGUCCCUGGGGAGGGCCAGGGACACUGGCCAACACCCAAGAGAACUUACCUUUGGACAACUGUUUUCCCAAGAACUCUAGUCCUUGGGACAUACUUGUCCCUUCUAAAGGGGCACUACCAUUUCUUAUAUCAGAUCUAAACUCUGCUACACAUCCCUGAAUGUCUGCUACUCCAUGUUUUCUCAUGACUCCUGCUUCAGGCAGGAAGUCCUUUUCACACCAUUCCGGACUCCCUAUUUUUUCACUCCACUUGAUAACGCCUCCUCUGGGCCAAACCACAUCCUACUGAUACUCUGAACCGCCUCUUCCUUGAAGCCUUCCCAGCCCACUCCAUUUUACAGACCCCUUCCUCCCUGAUUCUUAAUAUGCUUAGAGCAUUAAACUAAGUUUUUCCAUAGCAAAUUGUCACUGUUGAAUCUUCCUUUAGCAACCAGACCUCAACCUCCUUGAAGGGAAGACCAGUGCGAUUCUCCUUCUGAAUCCCUACAGACCCAAGUACAUGACAGACUCUAAGGUGGACACUCUUUUAAUGUUCUUUGGAGUCAUUCCAGACUCUUCUUUCUCUCAUAUCCAAUCUGUCAGCAAAUCCUGUCAUCUCUACCUUCAAAAAUCUAAACACUUCCACCAAUCUGAACCCUAGCCAGGCCACCGUGUUCUCUCACUUGGCUAACUACAAUAGCUUCUUAACUAUUCCUUCUGCUUUUGCCCUUGUCUUUGCGCCUGAACCCCUUGUAUCUAUUCUCAAUAUAGCAGCCAGAGGGAUUCUAUAAAACAUUAAUCAGAUCAUAUCUCUCCUUUGCUGAAAACCCUGCAGUGGUUUCUCAUUUCCCUCAAAGUAAAAUCCUGUCAUUAUGACACCCUGACAUCCCCCUUACCUCUCAGAUCUUAUAACCUACCUGCACUCCACUCCAGCUACACUAGCCACUUUGCUAUUCUUCUAAUACACUAGGCAUAACACCUACCUCAGGGCCUUUGCACUCACUAUUCUUUCUGUCUGGCACCCUCUUCACUCAAAUACCACAUGGUCACUUCAGGUCUUGACUCAAAUGUCAGUGCAAUCUUCUCUGAUACUAUUGUUUAGAGCUACAACCUUUACCCCCAUAGCACUCCAUAUCCCCCUUCCUGCUUUAUUUUUCACCUUUACACUUACUAUCAUUUAACAUAUUUUACUCAUUAUUUACUGCUGCCAUCUACCCAUUGGAAUAUAAGCUCCAUGAAGACAGGAAAUUUUUCUAUUAGUUCUUGCUGUAUCCCCAGUGCCUAUAACAGUCUGCCAUAGAGUAGACUGCUCAAUAAAUGUUAAGUGAAUUAAUAAAUGAACCAACAAUAAUGUGAGUGCUCUAUGCCAAUCCUAGGUGCAUUCACAUUCAUUAUCCAAUUUAAGCCCUAUGAUAACUCCACGAGCUCUGCUUUAUCCGCAUUUACUCAGGUCAAGAUACUGUGGGUUAGUAAAAUUGACCUCCCAACCUAGACAGGGCUUCUAUAUUUUCUCCCAAAUUGGGAAAGGGAAGCAGUAUUUUUUCUUCUUGCUCCAGAAAAACCCUAUAUCAGAGAGGUCCGGGUAAGACUAGGGCCAGAGGAUGUGAGUCCAUCCACACUAUUCUCACCUCACCACUUUGGAGUCCUUGCAGGCAAUGUGCAACUGGAACAUAUCACGGCUCUCGACGCUGUCAAUCAUCCGGAGGGGGACCUUCAGAGGAAAGGCAAACUAAAGCUCAGAUCCCCACUCUCAUCACUCAUGCCCACCUCAGCCUAGAUGCUGAUGCAGCAAUAUGAGGAAGGAAACCAACAUUUACUGAGGGCCAGUUAAGCGCCUGAUAACUGUGCUGGGUCCUCUACAUAUGCGACCUUAAAUAAUAAUCAUGAGAAACCUGCAGAGCAGAUAUUUUCACACCAAAUUAUGAGGGAGGAAAUAGAGCCUCAGUUGGGUGACCGAACCAAGGUCACACAGUUGGGAACUGGCACUCUUCCAACAAUGCCGCUAUACCCCUUACAAGGGUGAGCAACAGAGUGAGGGAAAGAGAGAAGAGGAGAAGGAAGAAUAAGAGAGGCAGAAAGACCUAUAGCUAGGAGAAGGAAGCAGGAAAAUGAAAAGUUAUUGAAAAGAAGGGCACCCCAACUUUUUGGAGACAUGAUCAAGUCCAGCACUGGAGCACUCACACUUGUGAACCAGGCAGGGAUUCUGCCUUGGGUGUGGGAGAACAAGACGGGAACUCACGUUGAUGACAGAAUCUUUGAACUUGAUAUGCAGCCGGUAGUUGGAGAUGGCAAUUAGGGCAUCGGCUGCCCGGCCCAGGAACUCCACUCCCUCACCCUGCAGCACUGCAAAGGGCACCUGUCGAGGGGCAGAGGGACCUUCAGUCCAGAAAUCGGACACUGGUCUUUGCCAGCUUGGUCGCUCCACACUCCUGAAAGGGGAGUUCUCUGAGUGUUUUUAUUCCAAGGCCCCCACCCAACCCUACUCCGUCAGCUCCAUCUUCCCCUUGUUUCACAUCCUCUGAUGUCUGGGUAAGAACAUCUUUCUUGGAGAAUAAUUUUUUUAGGCUGAGAAAGAGAAAACUAAAACUAUGGAGCUAUGCAAAAACAAAACCCGAAACCCAAGAGUAGGGUAUAGAGGGGGUACGGUAGAGGGCCAAGGAAUAAGGAGCAGUGAGGCUCAAAGUAUCACCAAGAGUCACAGAAGGAACUGGUUGGAACCCCAUGCUUCGUAUGCCUGGAAACUUUCAGAAACCAGGGCUUUGGGGGACAAGGGGAUAUAGGAGAAAACCUGACUUUGUAUUAAGCAUCUACUAUGAGCCAGACAUGUUUCAAACAUUACAUCACUAAAAUCUUUCAACUCCCCAAGAAUUAAGCUUUAUCCUUUUUUGCUGGUGAAAGGUCAGGCACAGAAAGAAAAUAUACAAUUUACCUAAGCUAUUUAAGCGGUGAUGCGAGGAUUCAAAAUUAGAGUAGGCUAACAAGGAAGCCCAUGGUCUUUUUGGAGUGUCGCAGAGGAGAAAAAGGAAAGCGGCCACCAGUUGGUGGGGACCAAGACCAGGAGGCUUUCUAGGACAAGACCAGAACCACAUCCCCACAUGCCUAUGGAAGGAAGGAGAGAGUCCUCUCACCAACUGAAUUCCUUAACCUGCACAAGCGACACAUGAAGAAACGGAAAAGAUACAGCCAGAGCAAGGGCCUGGUAUGGGCCAGGGCCUGCAACUCUCCACUCUCUUUUUCUCUCACUGCUUCCUCCUCCUAGUUCUCGGGGGUUAAGUAAGGAGUUCCCUGAAUUCACCUGAGGUGACAGAAUGGUAUUUCAGAAGGUGGACAGAAUCAUUAUCCCCCUCAUUCCCAUCCCCUGUACCAACCCAGUUGAUAUUCUGGGCACCUUGAGGCUGCUAUCCUGCUAUAUAUCCAGUGAGGUAUUGAGUGCAGUAGCUUAAAAGAAGCGGUAUCUUAGAGCUGGAGAAGCCUCACUGUUUUGGUGGAGUCACUCCUGAUACAGCACCAACAACAUUCAAGAAGCCCACUGGGAAGUAGGAAAAUCUUGAGAUAAAGGAGGCCUGGUUUUCCAGACCAGAGCAGAGAGCUUCCACCAGGGACCCCCCAAAAAAAGCAAGAGAAGGGCCAUUAUGAAAGGUUAAGAGAGCCAGUGGGAGUAUCAGGAAGGUAUGGCAUACAUAGCACGUGCAAGAAAAGACUUCCAGAGGCUUCCUGUCCCAAUGCUGUAUACUGGUUGGUGUUUUGCAAUCUAAAGAAACCCUAAUUUAUUUCCAGGACAGAUGAACUUAUUUAGAGGCUGAACAGAGUAGCAUGGAGCUCAAGGUCCAGGAGGGGCAGGGCAGCUUCACAGAGAAAGAAAGAUUACAGAAAUCACAAGGGUCUGAAGAAAGAGAAUACUCACCAUUCUACUGUGGUGAGGGUCCUGGCUGCCUGCUUCUUACUAUAAGAAAACAGAGAAACAUAAGAUUAAAGAGCACCAUUAACAUUACCUUAGAAUCAGCAAAGGACACACAUCUACUCCUAACCUCUACAGAGAAUUUCACAGAGAAUCCAGCCUCUCCACAAGUCCCCAUGCCAGACAGAGGCAAUGUGAGCUACAUGGGAAGAAGGCAACAAGUAAUUCUGCAGGGCAUGGAGUCGGCCACAAAGUUCUGGGGCAGGAAUGAGUGUCAUCCAAGAUUAUUCAGAACUCAAAGAGUCCUGAUUUCCAGACCAGAAAGAGAAGAACACUCCAAACACUGUUUUUUUGGGGAAAGCAAGACUGCCAACUCUGAAAAGAGAGGCUGCCCAACCAGGACUUACUUCUGGCCUUGGAGGGACAUGAAUCCACAGGAAUGCUCUGCCAGCCUCUAAGUCUGGGAGUAGCACCCACCUGACCUGUUUACUGGGGGCAGAGUCCAGAGCAGAGGACAAGAGGGAGGGAACCACAACCUGUGAGCAGAAUGCCUUUGGGCAGCAGGACUGAAUAGGUCCUGUUGAACGUAUAUGACACCAAGUGGGAAGCAGGUAUGUGGGAGGAGGCCACACUACAGUGACAGUAUCAGGCCAGCCCAGGCCUCAGAACAAUACCUGUCAGUUGGGCCCAAGCAACAGAAAUUCAGGAUAGGCCUCCUUGGCCCACUUAGGAAGCCAGGCCCAGGUUUUACUGACACUUUCCCUCAUGCCCGCUAUCCGAGCUCAGGAACGGUCCAGCAGCGCCCUGCAGAAGGCUGCGGGGAUAAAAGCUUCCAUCUGUGGUCCUGCCGGCCUUCCUGCCUUCCUGAUCACAGCCCACCCUUCCUCGCGGGGGAGCCAGCAAAAAGCAGACCAAAGUUUUGGUUUCGCUGCGACCAUCUCGUCCCAAACCCGGAGAGAAAGGACCCCGCAGGCUGAGAAGGAGGGAGGCCUGGGCGCGAGGCUGUGUCUUCGGUCUUCGAUCUUCGACUGGAGGCGGGAGGGCGUCCUCUCUUCUGCGUCGUGACGGGUUCUUCCAACCCUUACUUCGCAUCAGCGAACCGACCCUGCUGUCCUUCAGGACCUGCGUGGUGCCGUCAGCCCUAAUCUGGGCCUCAGAUUACCACUAGCCAGCUGCCACCUCUUAGUCGGUAAAGAGAGUGGGAACAGGACUCCGCUCUUCGCUCCUCCCUUCCUCUCUCCCCUCUGGGGAACCAGAGCGGGCAGCAUGGCGGACGGUGGCCGCUGGAGGUCGCCGUGGCCUUGCGAUACCACCAACGCGGCAGCAAUGGAGAACCGUUGAAUCGCUAGCGUGGAACAGCUAGCUUCACUUGGGGAGCUGGCCUGAAGGCUUUGAAUACCAAGCCCCGGGGCCAGGAUGUCUUCACGUGUCUGUUUACUGAACAUUGGAACUUUUACUACAGCUGGGAAAUUCCAGCAAAACAGGAACUUUGCCCGUGUUCACAGCUUUGACUCCAGCAACCUCGCAGAUGCUUUAUAUUUGUUACAGGAAUAUUGAGCUCUUCCAGGGACAGCGAUUGUACUUUGCUCAUUUCCAACACUUACUAUAGUGUUGGAUGAUCACAAAGGUUUCACUAUUUGUUCAGGGCUCUCUAUUACAGGCUUCCUAGAAUGCAGAGCUUAAUUCUGUAUAUACCCUUCCCCAAAUCAGGGGAAAUAGGAAGUCAGGAAGCUGCAUGUAGGUAAUACCAUGUUUUACCAAGAGCAGAUAUUAGAUCCAAAGCUUCUAUAGAAUUGAAAAUUCUGUAUAUGGAAAAGAUGGGAGAGAGGAUCGGGCCCCAGAUAAGAGGGGCAGGAUAGAUGUGGUCAGUACCAUGGAGAGGCCAGGUUGGAUCCUAGGCAGAGACUGAACCCUGGCAUAGAAGAGGAAAAGUUUCCCCUUUUCCCCCUUUCCUACUUAAAAGCCAGACACCAGCACCCUCCUUCAGCACCCUUUCAAAAGUGGGUCCUAGGAUAUUCUUGGUCCCCAGGAGGUGGUAAAGAUACAGUGACACCAGAAGGCAGCUAUAGAUUUCUUAAACUUUAUUUCCUCUGAGUCUCUGGGGAGGCAGCAGGGAUGUAAGGCGAAGUGGCAGUAGCUGCAGGGGACUGAGCAGAGCUGGUGCUGGGAGGGGCCGGCAUUGGGCAGGACAAAGAGGAGAUUUAAAUAUCCAGGAUUGAAAACUAAUGGGUCUCCUUCAUCUGUCUUUGGAUUUUGUGCAGCAUCUCCUGCAUCCGCCGCAGCUGGAACAGGCACACAUAGCAAAAUGGGGCCUUUUAGAGAGUCCUACAGUGUUAGGGGAGUGCCCCCAAACUCUUAUCCCUUAGCCUGGGCAUGGGCAUGGUAGUCCAGAUAUGUGAUGGAGACCCAGGUAGAACAAUCAAUCCACCAAUCCAGGACCCAGGAAGGUACCAGGGCCAGGGAUCUUCCUAUUCCCAAACCAAGAAAUACUGAACGUUUAUAAUUAAGCAGGGACCCUCCAUACUGUCAAUCCCUACCACCCCAUACUGCUCUCACCUCCUCAUCUUUCUCUCGGAUCAGCCUCUCUGUUUCUGGAUCUGUCCCUGGUGGGACAGCAGGGAUGGGGAAGUCAGUACCACUCUCUCGAGUCAGUUUGCUAAAGGGAAUGGGAAAGGGGGCUUGGUAAGGCUAGGGGGACCCUGGCACCUGCUUGGAUUGAGUCCAGGGCCUGUAGAAGAACAAAGGAAGGGCUUUCUCUCAUCCAAGGCUGUGCUUGGGACCCCCUCCCGGCCAGCUCUGUCCUGGCUGCUAGCCAUACUUGCGAUUCCUUUCUUUCACCACCAGGCGAGUCAUGCUCUGGAUGCACUGUGCCCGAUAGUUCUCAUAAUGUGUCUCCCGCGUCACAUCCUUCAGGUCCUGCAUAUGAGUACGCACCAGCAUUGUCCUCAGCUUCACAAAGUCGCAGUGUCCUGGGUUUUCCACUGCAUGGCAAGGCUAGGGGUCAGCCAGAAGCAUGGGGAGAGCCACUGAGGGCAAGGAGACUCCCUGGUCGCAAGCUCAGUGCUUUACCUUCCACGAUGCCCCAGGGGUAGAGCCGGCCCCGAACACGCCGCCCUCUGGCCUCUACCACAGUGUUGCUGCCAAUUACAGCAAAUGGGAUGCUUUCCUGGAAGAAGUGGGGGGAGGGCCUGUCAGUACCCCCCAUUCUUACCUGUUCCUUUCCAUCUUUAUUUUCUCUGCUUCACUCUAGGAAACCAGGUUCCUCUCCCACCCCUUAAAUCGAAUUCGACUUCCCUCUUCUGCCCAGAAGAAACAAAAUGGAAAAGGGAUGCCCUGGGCUGGCCCCACCUUUAGGGCUUGGUCCUGUAAUUUGAAGUCCUCAUCCUCAUCAGAGUCACAGUCGGGGAACUGAUAGACCUUGAUUCCAAACCGCUCAAUCUCCUCUCGGAUCUGACAAACACAUGAGGGGCCCACAGUUUUGGCGACCCCAUCCUUUCCAGAAGCCCACCUGCUCCCCUCCCCCCACCAGCUUCCCUCACUUUGCGUUUCUUGCGCUCUACUUCAGGAGGUGUCAGUGUGUCCGCCUUAGCCAAGAUAGGCACGAUGUUAACCCGCUGAUGCAGGGCCUUCAUGAAUUCAACAUCCAGUGGCCGGAGCCUGGGGAACAGGAAUCUGUGACCACCUGCUGGUGGCAGCCCUGCCCUGGUGCUCUCAGCCUGUUCCCUUUGCAGCACCUGGUGGUGUCAGGAGCCUCAGGCUCGGACCAUACCCGUGGCCGAAGGGUGAGAUGAAGUACAGGCAGCAGUGCACCCUGUUGUCUUGGAUGUUCUUGCGGUUCAGGCCACUCUCGUCUCGGAAAUACUGCUCAAACUGCUGGUCGAUGUAUUCUGCCACAGGCUUCCAGCUGCGGCAGGGACAGAAAAGCAGAGAAACUGUGGGAGUGGGGGCUGCCUCAUGAGCUCUGGGGCUACAGAGUAGCCCACGCCCUAAGCAGUGUUCCCAAGACUUUGUUAUUCCCUGGCUUGCUUUACUACAUCUGCAGGGUGGUACCUGGGUGGGACGGGUGUAUCUCACUUGCCCCACUAGAAAAUCAGACUGAGCACAAAGUUCAAUAAAUACUAGUUUGAUGAGAGGAAAAGGCCUAGGUGACCAAACAAACCAAUAAGAAUAAGGUACCUGCAAGUGAACACCAACUGGAAGCCAGGGCAGCCCUUAGUCAGGUUCAUAGUCCAGCCUCAGAACCUUUGUUCAUGGGUCCUACCCUCUGCUCCACCCCUCUGAACCACCCUAUCCUCCUCAAGGCCAUAUCUAAGAACUAUCUCUUCACUCCUUCCAGUGUACAUCAAUAUACACUGACUGCUCUCCCCUUCUCUCCACCACACAGUCAAAUCGUGUACAUAUAUAUUCAAGAACUCCCAAUUUUCAAGUCUUUUUGCUUUUCUGUUACUUAGUUUCAUCCUCACUGAUAGGUGCCCUGAUAGGUGGACACAUAAGCAUCAUCACUUUCACUUCAUACACGAAGGAACUAAAUCUAUAGCAUCUAGGAGACAAUCCAUAUCAUUUUAGCGAGCUAAUUCUCCCCACUCAAGCCCUUGGCCUCUGACUCUUCAACAUGCUUGCUGCUACAUUACCUGACCUAUUUACUAACUUAAGUUGAUUGACCCACAUGUAAGAGAACUGCUGCCCCCACUCCUCCUACCCCUACUACUAGACCAUAAGCCUCUCAGUGACAAGGAUGAUUCAUACUUAUUCUGUGUCCCUUAAAAUGCCCAGCACUGGCUGGACACCUAGUAUAUGCUCAAUAAACUCCUACUGGUUACUAAAUAA